GACGAACGCUGGCGGCGUGCUUAACACAUGCAAGUCGAACGAUGAAGCCCUUCGGGGUGGAUUAGUGGCGAACGGGUGAGUAACACGUGGGCAAUCUGCCCUGCACUCUGGGACAAGCCCUGGAAACGGGGUCUAAUACCGGAUAACACCCUCGCAGGCAUCUGUGAGGGUUAAAAGCUCCGGCGGUGCAGGAUGAGCCCGCGGCCUAUCAGCUUGUUGGUGAGGUAACGGCUCACCAAGGCGACGACGGGUAGCCGGCCUGAGAGGGCGACCGGCCACACUGGGACUGAGACACGGCCCAGACUCCUACGGGAGGCAGCAGUGGGGAAUAUUGCACAAUGGGCGAAAGCCUGAUGCAGCGACGCCGCGUGAGGGAUGACGGCCUUCGGGUUGUAAACCUCUUUCAGCAGGGAAGAAGCGAAAGUGACGGUACCUGCAGAAGAAGCGCCGGCUAACUACGUGCCAGCAGCCGCGGUAAAAC
rnacentral:rRNA from 1 species